rnacentral:rRNA from 1 species
ACGAACGCUGGCGGCGUGCCUAAUACAUGCAAGUCGAACGGCUUUUCUAUGGAAGCUUGCUUCCACUGAGAAGAUAGUGGCGAACGGGUGAGUAACACGUGGGUAACCUGCCCAUAAGAGGGGGAUAACAUCCGGAAACGGGUGCUAAUACCGCAUAGUUUUCUUGAUUGCAUGAUUGAGAAAGGAAAGACGGCCUUUGUGCUGUCGCUUAUGGAUGGACCCGCGGCGUAUUAGUUAGUUGGUGAGGUAACGGCUCACCAAGACGAUGAUACGUAGCCGACCUGAGAGGGUGAUCGGCCACAUUGGGACUGAGACACGGCCCAAACUCCUACGGGAGGCAGCAGUAGGGAAUCUUCCGCAAUGGACGAAAGUCUGACGGAGCAACGCCGCGUGAGUGAAGAAAGGUUUUCGGAUCGUAAAACUCUGUUGUCAGAGAAGAACAAGUUGGAGAGUAACUGCUCCAGCCUUGACGGUAUCUGACCAGAAAGCCACGGCUAACUACGUGCCAGCCGCUGC